rnacentral:rRNA from 1 species
AAAAUGAAUCUGGAGAGUUUGAUCCUGGCUCAGAACGAACGCUGGCGGCGUGCCUAACACAUGCAAGUCCAACGUGAAAGGGGAGCAAUCCCCGGUAGGGUGGCAAACGGGUGAGUAAUACAUGGGUGAUCUACCUUAGGGAUGGGGAUAUCCUUCCGAAAGGAGGGGCAAUACCGAAUAUUGUCCGGAGCCGUGAAGGGUUCCGGGAAAGGGAGGCCUCUGAUACAAGCUUUCGCCUUAAGAUGAGCCCAUGGCCCAUCAGCUAGUUGGUAGGGUAAAGGCCUACCAAGGCUACGACGGGUCGCUGGUCUGAGAGGACGACCAGCCACACUGGCACUGAGAUACGGGCCAGACUCCUACGGGAGGCAGCAGUGAGGAAUAUUGCGCAAUGGGGGAAACCCUGACGCAGCAACGCCGCGUGUGGGAAGAAGGCCUUCGGGUCGU